rnacentral:rRNA from 1 species
UACAGAGGGGGCAAGCGUUGUUCGGAAUUACUGGGCGUAACGGGCUCGUAGGCGGCCAACUAAGUCAGACGUGAAAUCCCUCAGCUUAACUGGGGAACUGCGUCUGAUACUGGAUGGCUUGGAUCCGGGAGAGGGAUGCGGAAUUCCAGGUGUAGCGGUGAAAUGCGUAGAUAUCUGGAGGAACACCGGUGGCGAAGGCGGCAUCCUGGACCGGUAUUGACGCUGAGGAGCGAAAGCCAGGGGGGCAAACGGG